rnacentral:piRNA from 1 species
CAAUUGAACGAAAUGUGCC